AACGAACGCUGGCGGCAGGCUUAACACAUGCAAGUCGAACGGUUGUAGCAAUACAGCAGUGGCAGACGGGUGAGUAACACGUGGGAACCUUCCUAGGGUACGGAACAACUCAGGGAAACUUGAGCUAAUACCGUAUACGUCCGUGAGGAGAAAGAUUUAUCGCCCUUAGACGGGCCCGCGUAGGAUUAGGUAGUUGGUGGGGUAAUGGCCUACCAAGCCUACGAUCCUUAGCUGAUCUGAGAGGANGAUCAGCCACACUGGGACUGAGACACGGCCCAGACUCCUACGGGAGGCAGCAGUGGGGAAUCUUGGACAAUGGGCGCAAGCCUGAUCCAGCCAUGCCGCGUGAGUGAAGAAGGCCUGGUUGUAA
rnacentral:rRNA from 1 species